AGCAGCCGCGGUAAUUCCAGCUCCAAUAGCGUAUAUUAAAGUUGUUGCAGUUAAAAAGCUCGUAGUUGAAUUUCGGGAUCAAGGGAUCGGUCAUGCCUUGGUAUGUACUGGUUUCAUUGGUUCUCACCUUCUAAAGAACCAUGAUGUCAUUCAUUUGAUGUUAUGGGGAAUUAGGACUGUUACCUUGAAAAAAUUAGAGUGUUUAAAGCAAGCUUACGCUUGAAUACAUUAGCAUGGAAUAAUGAAAUAGGACAUCAGAUUCUAUUUUGUUGGUUUCUAGGAUCGAUGUAAUGAUUAAUAGGGAUAGUUGGGGGCAUUAGUAUUCAAUUGUCAGAGGUGAAAUUCUUGGAUUUAUUGAAGACUAACUACUGCGAAAGCAUUUGCCAAGGAUGUUUUCAUUAAUCAAGAACGAAAGUUAGGGGAUCGAAGACGAUCAGAUACCGUCGUAGUCUUAACCAUAAACUAUGCCGACUAGGGAUCGGAUGAUGUUAAUUUUUUAAUGACUCAUUCGGCACCUUACG
rnacentral:rRNA from 1 species